GGGGAAUUUUCCGCAAUGGGCGAAAGCCUGACGGAGUGACGCCGCGUGGGGGCCGAAGGCCUUCGGGUUGUAAACCCCUGUCAGAGGGAAAGAAGGGUGUCGGCGCGAUAACCGCCGGCACUUGACGGUACCUUCAGAGGAAGCCCCGGCUCACUCCGUGCCAGCAGCCGCGGUAAUACGGAGGGUGCGAGCGUUGUCCGGAAUCACUGGGCGUAAAGGGCGCGUAGGUGGCCUGGUAAGUAGGGGGUGAAAUCUUGCGGCUCAACCGCAAGACUGCCUCCUAAACUGCCUGGCUUGAGCACAGUAGAGGCAGGUGGAAUUCCCGGUGUAGCGGUGGAAUGCGUAGAGAUCGGGAAGAACAUCGGUGGCGAAGGCGGCCUGCUGGGCUGUUGCUGACACUGAGGCGCGACAGCGUGGGGAGCAA
rnacentral:rRNA from 1 species